rnacentral:rRNA from 1 species
CGGCGUGCCUAACACAUGCAAGUCGUACGAGAAAGGGUCCUUCGGGACCUGAGUAAAGUGGCGCACGGGUGAGUAGCGCGUGGAUAAUCUACCCUUCAGUUGGGAACAACUCAUCGAAAGGUGGGCUAAUACCGAAUAAUACUGCUCGACCUUGGUCGAGCAGCCAAAGAGAGCCUCUGCUUGCAAGCCCUCACUGAAGGAUGAGUUCGCGUACCAUUAGCUUGUUGGUAGGGUAAUGGCCUACCAAGGCGACGAUGGUUAGCUGGUCUGAGAGGAUGAUCAGCCACACUGGAACUGAGACACGGUCCAGACUCCUACGGGAGGCAGCAGUGAGGAAUCUUGCGCAAUGGGGGAAACCCUGACGCAGCAACGCCGCGUGAGUGAGGAAGGUCUUCGGAUCGUAAAGCUCUGUCAGUUGGAAAGAAAUGUCUGAGAGUCAAUCCCUUUCAGGCUUGACGGUACCAACAGAGGAAGCACCGGCUAACUCCGUG